GUUCACGGCUCAACAGGCUAAUACAUCACGCUUUGCUGUGGGCCCAUCACCACCAUCCUCUCCAGAACUCUUUUCAUCUCGUAUGACAGGCUCUGUACCCACGGAACAACUUCUCAUUCCCCGUUUCCUCUAGCCCCUGGAAACCACCACCUUACUUUCUGUCUCUACAAAUGUGACUACUUCUUCAUGUGAGAUCUCAGCUCCCCAACCAAGGUUCGAACUCCCACCCUUUGCAUUGGAAGCUCUCUGUUAUGAGUUAAGGAGCCUGUCUCACAAGUUCCUCCAAUCAUGUCCUGGCCGCUUUCUCCAGUCUGGAUGAGCUCCUGAGAAAACUAAAAUGGAUAAAAUGGGGUUUGUGUUAUUGUGAGCCUGCAAUUUGCUUCCUCCUUCAUAAAAUACUAGCCGGACGUCCAGUAUAUGAGCAUCAGCAUCUGUAAAUCCAGCAGCAUGACCGGUGGGCUGCUCACAUCAAGCAGGCAGACACUGUUGAUUAAGCUGGAGGUCUCCUUGAUAUCAUUUCCUGGUCUCCUGGUAUCGUCUUCAACUCCCCCAGUUUCA
ensembl:lncRNA